UGAGGAAUAUUGGUCAAUGGUCGGAAGACUGAACCAGCCAAGUAGCGUGAAGGAUGACUGCCCUACGGGUUGUAAACUUCUUUUGUUUGGGAAUAAAGUGAGGCACGUGUGCCUUUUUGUAUGUACCUUACGAAUAAGCAUCGGCUAACUCCGUG
rnacentral:rRNA from 1 species